CCUACGGGUGGCAGCAGUCGAGAAUCAUUCACAAUGGGGGAAACCCUGAUGGUGCGACGCCGCGUGGGGGAAUGAAGGUCUUCGGAUUGUAAACCCCUGUCAUGUGGGAGCAAAUUAAAAAGAUAGUACCACAAGAGGAAGAGACGGCUAACUCUGUGCCAGCAGCCGCGGUAAUACAGAGGUCUC
rnacentral:rRNA from 1 species